rnacentral:tRNA from 1 species
GCCGCCAUAGCUCAGUCGCUUAGAGCGUGGGUCUAAUAAGCCCAAGGUCGCAGGUUCGACCGCUGCUGGCGGCA